UACGUAGGGGCGAGCGUUGUCCGGAAUGAUUGGGCGUAAAGGGCGCGCAGGCGGCCUGUCAAGUCAGUAGUGGAAGUCCAUUUUUCAAGGAUGGAAAUGCUAUAGAAACUGAUGGGCUUGAGUGCAGGAGAGGUUAUCGGAAUUCCCGGUGUGGCGGUGAAAUGCGUAGAGAUCGGGAGGAACACCAGUGGCGAAGGCGGGUAACUGGACUGCAACUGACGCUGAGGCGCGAAAGUGUGGGGAGCAAACAGGAUUAGAUACCCU
rnacentral:rRNA from 1 species